rnacentral:tRNA from 1 species
UAAUGAAUAGUUUAAUUAAAACGAUAGGUUGUGGUUCUAUAGAUGGAUUUAUUUACCUUCAUUAG